AUUGAACGCUGGCGGCAUGCUUUACACAUGCAAGUCGAACGGCAGCGUGGGCUUCGGCCUGGCGGCGAGUGGCGAACGGGUGAGUAAUACCUCGGAACGUGCCCUGACGUGGGGGAUAGCGCGGCGAAAGCCGGAUUACUACUGCAUACGACCAGUGGGUGAAAUUGGGGGAUCUUCGGACCUCUCGCCUUUGGAGCGGCCGAUGGCCGAUGAGCUAGUUGGUGGGGUAAAGGCCUAACAAGGCGAAGAUCGGUAACUGGUCUGAAAGGACGACCCGACAGCUGGGCAGUGAGAAACAGCCCAGACUCCUACGGGGGGAAGCAGUGGGGAAUUUUGGACGAUGGAGGAGUGCCUGAUCCAGCAAUGCCGCGGGUGUGAUGAAGGCGUUCGGGUUGUAGAGUGCUUUUGGCGGGAAGGAAAAAGAAUGCUCUAAUACCGCAGUACAAUGACGGUACCCGCAGAAGAAGCACCGGCUAACUACGUG
rnacentral:rRNA from 1 species